AACGAACGCUGGCGGCAGGCCUAACACAUGCAAGUCGAGCGAGACCUUCGGGUCUAGCGGCGGACGGGUGAGUAACGCGUGGGAACGUGCCCUUUUCUACGGAAUAGCCUCGGGAAACUGAGCGUAAUACCGUAUACGCCCUUUGGGGGAAAGAUUUAUCGGAGAAGGAUCGGCCCGCGUUGGAUUAGGUAGUUGGUGGGGUAAUGGCCUACCAAGCCUACGAUCCAUAGCUGGUUUGAGAGGAUGAUCAGCCACACUGGGACUGAGACACGGCCCAGACUCCUACGGGAGGCAGCAGUGGGGAAUCUUAGACAAUGGGGGCAACCCUGAUCUAGCCAUGCCGCGUGAGUGAUGAAGGCCUUAGGGUUGUAAAGCUCAUUCAGCUGGGAAGAUAAUGACGGUACCAGCAGAAGAAGCCCCGGCUAACUCCGUG
rnacentral:rRNA from 1 species